UUAUUAUUAUAAUUAUUAUUGUGUAUAUUGAUAUGAUAUGAAUGCUGAAAGGGUCCUAAAUCUUACUAUAAUGUAUGCCGAUUGUGUAAAAUUGAGCAGCGUGACACCUUGUUUAAGCACAAUGGUGUUGAGCAGGGUGACUCACAUUACAGUCAAGUCAGUCAAGUGUUCACUCACAGUUGAACACCCACCCCUCGAGCUUUGUGUCAGUCUAUGCUUCGUUCCCACAGUUAUAGGGCUGGCUGGCUGGCUGAAUUACGUAACAUGAAUUCCUAUGGUUGCCACUGGCCGUCUGGAAUUCCUCAUAUGGAAAUGCAUCUCCUCCUCUCCCACAUUUAAUGUGUGUUAAUGCAUUGUCUUUAAGUUCGACGAUAAACGCAUUUCAAAAGUACGUUCAAGUCAGCUGGCGUCGAGAGGGAAUCGAAUGGUAUGACUCUUGUCUGUAUCUUUCCAUUGGUCGCAGCCAGAUCUCUGACGCGUUUAUUACGCGUGGCCUGGAACGGCACAACUUUGCGUAACAGUAGUCUAUGACGUUAUAUUACCGUGGACUAUUAUCAGGUGAAGAAGAGUGUGUAUUUCCUAUGUAAUGGAUGUUACCAUCGGAACGGAUCUGAGCGAGAUAGAGAGAAAGAUGGGUCGGGAGAUUCCAGAGAGUCUGUUUCCUUUUGCCCCAGAUGGAAGGAUGAUGAAAGACAAUACACAUGGUAGAGACGAGUGGGACUGGCCUGGCCAUGUCGAAGACAUGCCCUCCACCCAGAGUCUGCAGAGCAACAUGCGACUCCUAAGACAAGAAAUGUCACACCUGCGGGGCAUGGACGUCCGUCUGAUGUGCCAGCUCCUGUCGAUCAACAACGGCAUCGAGGCGACGCGCUGGGACCUGGAGGUGUAGCUGAGGUUGGGGAUGGCAGCGGGUGACUAGCCAGGAGAGAGCGUCCUGUCUCUCGACCAGGCUACACCCCGACGAAGCAGCGAAUCCAGUCUGCACUAGGGGAGAGAUGGGGUUUUGAUGUGAUGUCUGUGGGGAGUUAUCUGGGUAGCUUGGAGGGAAGACCCAGAGGUGAUACCGGCCCUCUCUCGCCCGCUGACCGGGUAGUUGGAGAAGGAGGCUUGGAGGGAAAGUUAACCCUGUGUUUGGGUCCUGGAAAACUACUGUGCAUAUCCAGACUAUUAUUGCAGACCAGCUCUAACAAACCUGAUUCAGCUAUACUGGCCUAAAAUCAAGGUAUGAUGAUUAGUUAAAUCAGGUGUGUUGGGCUGCCUGGAACAAAAGCAUGCUCACAUUGUAACCUACCUGUACUGUGCCUGUCCAGGAACACUAUAUCCUGAGGGUUUGAGGACAACGUUAGUGGGAGAGAGUCUAGGAACACUGUAUCCUGAGGGUUUGAGAGAACAACGUUAGUGGGAGAGAGUCCAGGAACACUGUAUCCUGAGGGUUUGAGGACAACGUUAGUGGGUGAGAGUCUAGGAACACUGUAUCCUGAGGGUUUGAGGACAACGUUAGUGGGAGAGAGUCCAGGAACACUGUAUCCUGAGGGUUUGAGGACAACGUUAGUGGGUGAGAGUCUAGGAACACUGUAUCCUGAGGGUUUGAGGACAACGUUAGUGGGUGAGAGUCUAGGAACACUGUAUCCUGAGGGUUUGAGGACAACGUUAGUGGGAGAGAGUCUAGGAACACUGUAUCCUGAGGGUUUGAGAGAACAACGUUAGUGGGAGAGAGUCCAGGAACACUGUAUCCUGAGGGUUUGAGGACAACGUUAGUGGGUGAGAGUCUAGGAACACUGUAUCCUGAGGGUUUGAGGACAACGUUAGUGGGAGAGAGUCCAGGAACACUGUAUCCUGAGGGUUUGAGGACAACGUUAGUGGGUGAGAGUCUAGGAACACUGUAUCCUGAGGGUUUGAGGACAACGUUAGUGGGUGAGAGUCUAGGAACACUGUAUCCUGAGGGUUUGAGGACAACGUUAGUGGGAGAGAGUCCAGGAACACUGUAUCCUGAGGGUUUGAGAGGACAACGUUAGUGGGAGAGAGUCUAGGAACACUGUAUCCUGAGGGUUUGAGGACAACGUUAGUGGGAGAGAGUCCAGGAACACUGUAUCCUGAGGGUUUGAGGACAACGUUAGUGGGAGAGAGUCCAGGAACACUGUAUCCUGAGGGUUUGAGAGGACAACGUUAGUGGAAGAGAGUCUAGGAACACUGUAUCCUGAGGGUUUGAGGACAACGUUAGUGGGAGAGAGUCUAGGAACACUGUAUCCUGAGGGUUUGAGAGGACAACGUUAGUGGGAGAGAGUCUAGGAACACUGUAUCCUGAGGGUUUGAGGACAACGUUAGUGGGAGAGAGUCUAGGAACACUGUAUCCUGAGGGUUUGAGAGGACAACGUUAGUGGAAGAGAGUCUAGGAACACUGUAUCCUGAGGGUUUGAGAGGACAACGUUAGUUGGAGAGAGUCUAGGAACACUGUAUCCUGAGGGUUUGAGAGGACAACGUUAGUGGAAGAGAGUCUAGGAACACUGUAUCCUGAGGGUUUGAGAGGACAACGUUAGUGGGAGAGAGUCUAGGAACACUGUAUCCUGAGGGUUUGAGAGGACAACGUUAGUGGGAGAGAGUCUAGGAACACUGUAUCCUGAGGGUUUGAGAGGACAACGUUAGUGGGAGAGAGUCCAGGAACACUGUAUCCUGAGGGUUUGAGAGGACAACGUUAGUGGGAGAGAGUCCAGGAACAGUGUAUCCUGAGGGUUUGAGGACAACGUUAGUGGGAGAGAGUCUAGGAACACUGUAUCCUGAGGGUUUGAGGACAACGUUAGUGGGAGAGAGUCUAGGAACACUGUAUCCUGAGGGUUUGAGGACAACGUUAGUGGGAGAGAGUCCAGGAAGGUCUGAGACAGGAUGUGUGGGGUAGUGUCUGGAACUCUGAUGUUGCACCUAUCCUGGGAUACUGUAUGACCCAGAGGCUCACUCCCCUCAGUCAGCUCGUCUAGGAGUGUGGUCAAGGACAUUGGUUUUACUUGAGAUGGGGGUAUCUGGAGCUGACAAUUGAUUUAUGCCAUAUAAUGAGUUAGUGUUGCUGUACUAUGAGGUACCAGGGACGAGAUCUUAGGGGGCUAAUUCUGUACAAUAAGAACCGUCUUCAUAGCAAAUGCUAUCUGACUGGGUGAUACUCCUUUCUCAUGUAUCAAGUCUCACCACCUUGUGACCCGUUCCACACAUCUGUUGUUUGUCAUGUAGACUAAGGGGGUGUAUCUUUACUAUAAAAAGGUGUUUGUCGGGGCUCUCAACGAAUCAUCUAAAGGUGGUUCGUCGACCAGCUUCAUUAUUGCAAUCGUUGUUAUUAAUACGUUUUGAAUAAAGUAAAGAUCCUGAUUGGUAAAUUGA